rnacentral:rRNA from 2 species
AAAUUGAAGAGUUUGAUCAUGGCUCAGAUUGAACGCUGGCGGCAGGCCUAACACAUGCAAGUCGAACGGUAACAGGAAACAGCUUGCUGUUUCGCUGACGAGUGGCGGACGGGUGAGUAAUGUCUGGGAAACUGCC